rnacentral:lncRNA from 1 species
UCCUACAUCUUCCUAGGGUGAAUUCAGAUCACUGUCCUAUUUUGGUGCGCCUUGACUCCAAACAUUAUCCUAAUAGAGCAAAUGUGCCUUUUCGUUUCCAAGCCAUGUGGAUGUCUCAUCCUGAUUUUAAGGAAUUUGUUACGAACCUUUGGAGUUCUGGUGAUGGUCAUGCUGUACACAGAUCAGCUAGGCUCGUGGCUCCGCUUGGCAUUUGGAAUCAGCAGGUUUUUGGGUGUUUAUUUACAAAGAAAAGGCAUCUUUUAGCUAGACUUGCAGGAAUUUAAAAGAAGCUUUGUCAUGAGCAUAAUCCUUUCCUUAGCGAGCUUGAGGUUGAGCUUACUAAAGAUUACAAUUUACUACUGGAUCAAGAAGAGACUUUUUGGCUACAAAAGUCCAGGAAUACCUGGCUUAAAGAAGAGGACAGGAAUACUCGGUUCUUCCAUCUGUCCACAGUUGUUAGACGAAGAAUGAAUAAGUUGGAAUGGUUACAUGAUGAUUUUGGGGAUUGGAUUACUGAGAAACAGAGCAUGAAACAUAUUAUUGUUAAUUAUUUUCAAGGGUUGUUUUGUGCUUAUGAUAUGGUUGGUGACUAUGCUUUGCUUCCUCAGUUGUAUCCUAGCCUUGAAGAGGCUGAUCUUGAAGGUCUUAGUUGUCCGGUUUCUAUUGAAGAGAUUAAGAAUAGUGUGUUUGCUAUUGGUAGAUUAAAGACCCCAGGACCUGAUGGUUUCCCUGCUCUUUUCUACCAAGAUUAUUGGGGGGUUUGCUCUGAUGAUAUCAUUUCCUUUUUACAUGAUUGCUUUAAUACUGCCACCCUUCUUGAUCAUUUAAAUGAGACUCUGAUUGCUUUGGAGCCUAAAGUGGAGAGGCCUAUGUUUAUGAAUCAGCUUAGGCCUAUUAGCCUUUGCAACUCUUUAUAAAGUGGUCUCUAAAAUCCUUGUGGCUAGGCUUAGGCCAUGUAUGACUAAGCUUGUCAGCUCUAGCCAAGUUUGUUUUGUUCUAGGGAGACAAAUUACGGAUAACAUUAUUGUUGCUCAAGAAGUGCUCCACAAAUUUAAAUAUGCCAAGGGUUUUAUAGCUAGGAAAAUUGAUUUAUCCAAAGCUUAUGAUCGUAUGCAAUGGCCUUUUAUUAGGGAGAUUCUCUAGGAAGUGGGCAUUAAAGGAAGCAUUUUGGAGUUGCUUAUGCAGUGUAUCAUUUCUGUGCAGUACAAGGCCAUUCUUAAUGGGGAGCUAAUUGACUCUUUCUCUCCUCAGUGUGGUAUUAGGCAGGGGGACCCUCUCUCCCCUUAUAUAUUUGUUUUGUGUAUGGAAAAACUCUCUCAUCUCAUUCAACAAAAGAUUCAGGAUAGAGCUUGGAAGUCUGUUUAGAUUUGUCAUGGAGGUCCUCAUAUUUCCCAUUUAUUCUUUGUUGAUGAUUUAAUCCUUUUUGGGGAAGCUACUAUUGAUCAAGCUUGUUUGAUGAAAUAGUGUUUGGAUGAUUUCUGUCAGUUGUCUGGUCAGCGAGUUAGCUUUGAAAAGUCUAUGAUAUGUGUUUCCCCAAAUACGUGCUCUGAUUUGGCUAAUUCAAUUGCUAUGAUAAGUGGUUCUCCUCUCACUGCUAGCCUUGGUAAGUACCUUGGUGUCCCACUAGAGUCAGUAAACAAACAUAUCAAGAGGUUAUUGCUAAAGUCCCAAAGAGAUUAGCUUCUUGGAAGAGCCAUACGUUGUCUAUCGCUGGUAGAAUUACUUUGCUUCAAUCUGUUACUGCUGCUAUUCCGAUCUAUACUAUACAAACUGCCAAGUUGCCUAUGUCUGUCUGUGAUAAAUUGAAUCUGCUCAACAGGAAUUUUCUUUGGGGGCAUACCAGUAAUACUUCUAAAAUCCAUCUUGUCAAUUGGGAGCAAGUGUGUAAACCUAAGGUAGUUGGUGGGUUAGGCAUUAAAAGGUCUGCUUGGAUGAACCAAGCUCUUUUGGCUAAGACUGGAUGAAGACAUCUUCAACAUGAGCAAGGUUUGUGGUCUCAGGUCUUCUAUGCUAAGUACUUAAAACACCAAAACAUUUUAACUGUGAAGGACUCUUUUUUCCCUUGUAGCUCUAGUGUCUGGAGGGGUGUUCUUUUUGGUCAUUCUGUCAUUUCCAAAGGUGUUAAGUGGAGAGUUGGUUAUGGGGAUAAUGUGUUAUUUUGGACUGAUAGGUGGUUGAGUUGUGGCCCUUUGUAUCAAUAUUUGCUCAUUGAUCUUUUUGAGGAAAUGCUUCAGCUGAAUGUUGGUGAUUUUUCGGAUGAGGGGGUCUGGGACUUUAACUGCUUAAGGGAAUGUCUUCCUUUUCAUAUUAUUCAGUUAAUUUUAAGUGUUCAUGCUGGUUUUAAUGGCAGUGGGGCUGAUAGAUAUAUUUGGCAGUUCACGCCUAAUGGUUCUUUCUCGGCUAAAUCAGCCUAUAGUUCCUUUUUACCUGCUGAGGCUUUAGUUAAAUGGGACUAGCAGUUUCUUUGGAGGUUACGGCUCCCUCCUAAGGUUAAAACUUUUCUUUGGAUUGUUUGUCAUCGAAAGUUGCUUACUAAUGUGCAAAGGCAGAAGAGAGGCCUCACUCAAGUUCCUACUUGUCCUAGAUGUGAUUAUCCUAUGGAAACUAUUUCUCACUUAUUUAAAGAUUGUCCUUUCUCUUUGGCCAUUUGGAAUUGUCUUCAAAUUGGAAAUAAUCCUAGCCCUGAUAUGGUGGAUUUUAAUGAGUGGCUGUUAAGGAAUCUACAAUAUAAAAGAAAGGUCUAUAAUGGGUUGCCUUGGCCUUUGGUUUUUGCACUUUAUCUGUCGUUUAUCUGGAAAUGGAGAUGUAAAGGAAUUUUUUAUCAAAGGUUUGUUAUGCCUGGUGAACCACAUCAUUUAAUUCUUCAAUAUGCUUUGGAGUGGUUUAAUGCUACCAAACCGCCUUCCCUUUCUUAUGUGUUGUUUGUUGUUCAACUUCAUUGGAUAGCCCCUACUUAUGGAGUUUGUAAGAUUAACACAGAUGGAAGUUGUAACAGUGUUUCUGGGUUUAUUAGUGCUGGUGGUCUUUUAAGAGAUAAUUAUAGUGCUUGGAUUAAGGGUUUCUCUGUGAACCUGGGUGUUGGUUUUGUUCUUGUAGCGUUGUGGGGCAUUUUUUGUGGUCUUCAUUUGGCUCGGGAGUUUGGCUUUAGUGUUGUGGAGAUGGAAAGUGACUCUAGUGUGGAUGUGGCUCUUCUUUCUAGCUCUACUAUUUCCACACACCCCCUGUUUAGCCUUAUUAGGUGUUGCAAGUUAAAGGUGCAAGCUGGUUGGAGAUGUUCUGUUAUGCACAUCUUCAGAGAGCAGAAUGUGGCAGCUCACGUCUUGGCUUCUAAGAGUUCUGAGUUUGGCACUGGGGUGCAGUAUUUUACUGAGGUGCCGACAUUUCUUGCGACUUGUUUGCCUGAGGAUGCUAUUGGGGUGUCCAGGUCCAAUGUUGUUUGUGCUUAUAUUGGGUGUCCAGGUCCCGUGUUGUUUGUGCUUAGUCUGUUUGUUCUGGGCCCUUAGCCCCUCUUGUUGCCAAAAAAAAAAAAGAAGUCAAAAACACAACCCAUCCCCACUUCCAGCAAUAUCUGUGGUGGUGUUGGGUGGGGAUGGUUGAUAUCGUUGCCAUUGUCUCCUCUCAGUCCCACCCCAACUUGACUACCUCCUCCCACGCCCCCACCAACCGAGCGAGUACAACCUAGCACUCUCUCUCUCUCUCUCUCUCUCUCUCUCUCUCUCUCUCUCUCUCACAGAGGAGGCUUUUGCCUCUGUCAAAGGUGACGGUAAAAUCGACAAGGGAGGGCUUUUAGACCCACCCCUUCUCUCCUGUUUGUAGGGGUGGACAUGGUCUAGUUUGGCCCGAUUUGCACCUAAAAAAGAAAUAUAAAUCAAUAUUAUUCAUUUGAUGUGGUAUGGUCUAGCUGUUGACUAAAAUGACUAGGAGAACCGGACCAAUCUGAACUUGCCGGUCUUGGUUCUAUGGAAUAGCAAUUAAUAUCGUAUCCGAUUAUAUUUAGAUUUUUCCGCAUUAAUUUAUAAAAAAUUUAUAAAAGUAUUCGGAUAUUAUUUAUUUAUUUAUUUAGAGGAACUAGUAAAUUUUCCUUAAAUUGUCAAAGGUUACAGGCUUGAGCGAACAAACAUGGCCUCAUAAAAACCUUGCCCAGGAAAAGUAUUUGGAUACGCUUUCAUUGCUGUAUACGGUUUAAUACCGGUCUUGCGUAGGAAUUGACAUAUCUUGCAAUACGAUGCCUUCCAAUUAGGUUAUGAACUCGAGCAAACAAACGUGUUCUUAUUGAUACCGUAUCCACUGCAAUUAAUACCGUAUCAAUUAUUGAGUUUUUUCCACAUCAGUUUAUAAAGUUUAUAGAAGUAUUUGGAUACGCUUUCAUCCUAUUCAAAAGUUGUACAUAAAGAGUAAAUUGUCGUAGACCUCCCCAAAUUAGGACCCCAAUCGAACUUAACUUUAUGAACUAAAAAAUCAGCUAAUUUAACACCCAAAUUAAUUAAAAUUGUCAAUUUAAUACCUACCGUUAGAUUUUAUCACUUUUCAUCUAAAAUUCCUUCGUACGUGGCAUGUGAGACACAUGUGCAAUAUAAUUGGAGAACAAUAUAGUUCUUCUAACCUGUUUUCCUACCACUAUUCAGCUUCCCUAAUAGUUGAGGCCAAAUUAAAAAUAGAGGAGCCCUAAUUUCACAAAUUCCACCAUUACAGACAAUUGUUAUGACAUAUACCCACCCAUAGCAUACAGUUGAGAAGAAGGAGAAGAAGAUGAAGUGGUUAGAAAAUGCAAAGGAACAUGCCUAGAGCAAAUGGUUCAGCCGAGUCCAAGUUCAAAUACCUGGAGCAAGAGGUUCUCUGUGUGUUCUAGAGAUAAGGAGCCUUCAGUCGAAUCUGACAUCAACUAUCCUCAUCAUUUGUUACCAAGUUAAUCGAGCCUAAACGUCUUGGUGCAAAACUUGCCUUUGUGGAGCAUUUGCCUUUUCACAACCAUUGACAGGGGGUAUAUUGACCCAGUUGUAAAGUGAGGAGGUAUUUAAGCCCCUAUUCUAAUUAAGAGUCUCUCUAUUGAUCUACACUUUCUUCCUUUAGACCCGUUUGGUUCAUGAGAAAUCAAUUGCUUUAAAUGUUUGGUAAGUUUAGGCAUAUAAGACAGAAAUAUCAUGCGGUGUUACUGCCAAAUUCACAAGGGAAGUUUUCAAUGAUGAAAAUUGGGAUCAAACAGGUCAACAAUGGUAUAAGAGGGAUCUAAAUCCUAUUGGCAUUGAUGAAAAUUGUGUUGUGUAUUCAUUUAUCUUGGACAAAGGAGAGAACAUGUAGCACAAAAGCAAAGUAGAACACAUCAAUUUAUGUAUAGAGAACAUUAAUCAGUACUUUCUACUUCUUGGAUCAAGGAAAAGGUGCCAAGGACGAUGUAGCACAACCAAGAGCCUUUGUCACGCCAGUAAUUGUGGGCUUGACAUUAGAACACACAGAGGUAAGAGGGCCUUUGUCUCCACCGUAGGUGAGAUCAAUGUCAGUCAACUCCACAUUCUCACACGGUUUGCCAGUGGUACAUAUAAGCUUGACU